UACAGAGGUCCCAAGCGUUGUUCGGAUUCAUUGGGCGUAAAGGGUGCGUAGGCGGCGCGGUAAGUCGGGUGUGAAAUCUCGGGGCUUAACUCCGAAACUGCAUUCGAUACUGCCGUGCUUGAGGACUGGAGAGGAGACUGGAAUUUACGGUGUAGCGGUGAAAUGCGUAGAUAUCGUAAGGAAGACCAGUGGCGAAGGCGGGGUCUCUGGACAGUUCCUGACGCUGAGGCACGAAGGUCAGGGGAGCAAACGGG
rnacentral:rRNA from 1 species